CAAUCACGAACGAAUAAACAUGAACAAUUGAUACGCGUAACGCGUAACGUUACGUAAGUGAAAACCUUGAAUUAUCUUCGAUCUUUUAUCGCUACAUUCCCUCCUCGUUCUCUCGCCUGUUGGUAUGUCGACGCUAAAUGGAAUCCACGAUUUCUGCAUUCUCAACUACCUGUCUUUUAUCUUUCACCUUCUCAAUUUUCCCGUCGCGAUUAUCAACUUAACCACACGUACGUUAAGAGAUUUGACAGCGGAUGCGAAAAUAUCGUUAGAACCGCCUAUGACCUAUGAGAAUGGACGUGUUCACGCGUAUCCGGCUAGAGAUCACGAGAACGGCAACUCUCGUCCGUUCCAUUUUCAUCGGUUAAUUAGUGGAAUUAUUAAAUUCCGGGGUAAUUCGUUGGUACACGUACGUACGAGUCCCUGUUCGCUUUUUCUUCGCUUCGCGGGCGUAUCGAAUCUUCGAUCUCUUUUCGCGUAAUCAAUAUCGUUCACGAUAUAUUACACUUUCUUUUGCAAUUUUAUAGAAGUCCGAUAGUAACAACUUGUCUUUUGUUUUGAACUUCACUUUCAGAAAAACCGCAUUACUUAUAGGAUGAUUCAAUAUUAGUAUCAAUAUUUAAUUAUUAUCAAUAUAUAAUAAGUUCUAAGUUGUGUUGUAUCGUAUUUACAUAUUUAAAUUUUCGUGGAUAAGUAAUAAACAAUACUGAGAAUAUUAUUGAUUGUACGCAGUCAUCUUCAUAUUGAAGUACGCAACGAUCUCAUAGAAGAAAAUUGAUACCUAUAGUUACGAUGUAACUUAUUCGUUAGAUUAUUUCGAUAUAUUCGAUCUAUAUUCGAUCUCUCCAAUUGGAAAAUAGAUGUUGGGUUUGGUAAGAGAAAACACGGUGGCAUUCUUGUAACACAACACCGACGGAUUAGCGUCGCGUCACUUAGAUCGGCUCGUUCGGUAGCAGUCGUAAAACAUCGUGUAAUACGAAGCUCGCGUUACGGAUCCUAGGAAAUAAAUCUGUCAGGAAUAAUCGUAAAAAUACGACGAAACAGAUUGAGAAAGUUAUCUGGGUAUGCGUCGUAUGUCGGCAACGAUAUACAACGCGCAACGGUUCGACUCGAACGUUAUCUCGACUCGGUGUCUCGAAACAGUCCAUAUUAUGUAUAUGUAUAACAAACGAUUCGAGAUAUAUUCGGUAAUGUUUCUAUUUUUCUUGGAAUGUUUGAAAAGAUCUGUGAGUCGAUUUAUUGCUAAAGAAAUGGUCUCGCCACGAUUAUCGUGGUAAAUAUAUAUCAAUAACAGAAAUCAAUCAUGAAAAUUCAAACUGUGAAGUAACUGGAAACGAAGUGAAAUUCAGGAAUUGGUGAUAUUUCGAUAUUUCAGUUUGUUUUACAGGUUAUGCGAAAGAUCGAUAAUCGCGGUUCGUUCGAUACGCAUCGAUUCCAGAUACGCCUGGUAAAAUCUCGUCGACGUUGCCGAACUGGCGGAAACUAGGAUGCUCGAUGUUUACACAAGUAGUAAUUAUAGCGUGGGUACUCUCUGUGAGCUCUUUCGUAUUCGGCUUGACUGACGUUUGCCUGAAAAAAAGGAAAUAUGUGAGGAUGACUUAUUGACCAGCUAACGAACGCACAGUGAUCGUGAGGUUGAAAGGAAGGAGGACACGAGUACUGAAGGAUCGUGUCGUUAAGGAUGACUCAGCGAGCUAUCAGAGCCGUGAGCCGUGUGAAACGGAGACACACGGACGCCUCCGCAAUACGUCGAAAGCGAUCAGCGGACAGCGCAAUAUGUAAUCUGCGACGUCGUUUGCUUACAAUCGUGUUGAAACUAUCUCUGAUCACUACGACGAAGUGCUUGCAAAUCGAUUGCGACGAAUGCGAAAGAAAGUUAAUUGGACAUAUUCUAUGUUCUCGACGCCGCCGGUUCUUGUCUCGUCGUCCCGUCGUCCCAUCAUCGUCUCCUCGUCUCUUCUCGUCUCGGAUCGACUCUUUCGUCUUGUUAAAAACCAACGAAGCUGGAUAUAAAUGUCGACGAUGGACGGGUGGGUACGCGUUAAGUGCGGCGGAUCAUCGAACGAGGUAAAAGAAGAAUGUAUGUCUGCGCGCGCACGCAACCAGAAGACCUGAAAACUAGAAAACCAGAAAGAUAACUGGUUCUAUCUUCCCUUUGGCAUUAGAGCUACAUACCUACAUGUAUGUAUAUAUGUAGGUGCUUGCGUUCGAGACACACGUACUCUCUCUCACACUUGUCGAGGAUGUCCUCGAGUUUCGAGGACGGCCAAGAAUCGACGUUCGUUAUCGCGUGCGCGCAUAACGGCGAACCUACCGGCUAUAGAGGCUGCGACAACAGGUGUUCUUUUGCGAUGUCGCUCCCGCCACCUCUUCUCCCGCUCUUGUCCUUUUCAAGAUCCGGAACGAGACCUCUUUCGAUCAUCGUCAUCGACUAAAUCGCCGUUCCUACCUUCCUUCCACUUUCCUACCGAAAUCCUCAGUCCAAGUUCCUCCGAUUUCACCGAUCGUCUCGGAUCGCUUGGGAAUUUCCGAACGAUCGAUGCCAACGUUCACGUAACGCUCCGAAUUUAGAUGGAAACGCGUGCGUCUAAAAUCACUCUGCAUCUCGUGCUAAACCUCCAUCGAUCUCGAUUCUAAUUAAAUCAUCCCACGGCCAUGGAGUUUUUAUAUCCGAACUUAUACUUAUUUUUGUUGGUCGAAUUACUUAAUUCGAAUUCGUGUAACUCGUUUGAUCCAAACGAGACGUCGUUUGCUUUCGCGACACGAAUUAGUCGAUUCGAUGCGAUGUAACCUGCCUCGAUCGUAUCGAUAGUCCAACGACCCCGGCAGGUCCGGCAGUUUCAUCAUAGGCAACGUGCUGCAUCUUCAUUAGUAGCAGAAAGCGAGGGACCAAAUGAAAAAAGGCGAAGAGGAACGAGGGGAGAAGAAGAGUUGAAUAGAGUAGAAAAGAACAGAGCAUGGCAGCAGCGGCGUUGUCGUCGUACGCACGUGGACAGCCGGUUCUGCAUACCAGCAGGAAUGCGCACGUGCUCGUGCAUACGUAGCGAAAGUGGGGCAACGCAGACCACCCACGUUCCUCGUCUUCGACUCGCCGUUGUUUACGUACUACUUGCCGCUUGCACCAUGUCGUUCCCGCGAUUUCUACGGUAUACACAUAAUACCCUUUCGCCGUCGAGUUGCUCCUUUCGAUUCGAUUCCCUUCCGUUCCCUUUCUUUCCUUUCUCUUGCAUUCCCUUCUCUCGCCAUCUGUUCCCCUUCUCUGUACCCUCUCUAUCUUUUUAGUCCUUUCUUCCUUUUCGUUCAUUGUUCGUUACCCUCUGCGAAACUCGACUGCCGCCAUUACCGCCACCGCCACCAUCGCUACUCUCUGCCUUCUCUACGUCGAGCAUUCUUCUAUUUCCACGUAGAGUUCCGGCUUCCCUUCACUUUUUCUUUUCACUUUCCAACUGCUUUUCCCAUUUUUCUCGUGCUAUUUAUUAUUAUCAUUGUUAUUAUUCAUACCAUAGACGGGAAUACAUUUCCAUUAGUGUAUAAAAGUUUGGUAUAAAAUAUAUAAAAGGAAACGCGAGCUCUUCUCGCUUAUCUCGCCUGUUAAAUAAAUAGAAUCUCAUAAUAACAACAACAAUAAUAAUAGUAACAAUUUUCUUCGCUCAAGCAACUUUCUCGUUGACAUUACGUUGCUAUGUGAAUUUUUUACAGACCAAAAAUUGACUCCCUAAACGACAAAACUCGAAAUGGAUCGCGUAACUAACGUGUUCUAACGGACGUGUGACGUUGUCACGUGAAACAUCGACAUGGAUAUGCAUAUCUGUGGCCGUUUCCGUAUCCGCAUCGAUAUCGAGUGGAACAGAACGAGAGACGAAAGAAGCAAAAGCGAACUAAGAAAGGGAGGAAAAAGGGAAGAGG
rnacentral:lncRNA from 1 species